CUCCACGGAAAGUCAUCCAAAGUCAAGUAGCGUGUCCUCGUAUUCUUUUUGCAAAUUUCCAUUUAUAUCUUCCAACUCUGCAGUUUGUUUUCUAGCGAUAUAUUUUCUUCGAGAAGUUUUCUUGUUUCCAUUUCAAGCCUUUUACGUUCCUUUUUUAUUUAUUUUAUCAACUCAUUCUUUUCUUGUAAUUGAUGCUUCCACGCCACAUUUUCCUUCUCUAGUGAAGCAUAGAUUUUUUGCCCCGUUGUUUUAAUUAAUAACUUGUAUUACAAAAUUAAUAGGGCCGGACGCUGAUUCUAAACAUAAAUGGAUUUCCAUGAUGUGUUAAACCUAAAUUAAUGGAACACAACGGUUAAGUCAAUGUAGAAAUUGUAAGAUCUGUUCCGUG